GGAUUGUAGCUCAGUGGUGAAGUGCUUGCCUCACACGCGUGAGGCCCUGGGUUCCAUCCUCAACACCA
rnacentral:tRNA from 1 species